ensembl:lncRNA
GCAGUUCCCCUGUAGACACACGUGGGGGCGCUGUUCUGUCUUGUUGAUGGAGCAUUGAGCGACGAGAAGAAGACUGACGUACCUAUAAAAGGCGCGGUUCAGAGACGGGUGACUAGUUGUUGAUGCAAUGACACUGAUGGAAGAACUUUUAAAACAUAUUAGGCGUUCAAAUACACACAAGAGCAGAAAGAAAAUUCUGAAAUGGAUGCAGAAACGUGGUAUCCUGGCGACGACGAUGAAGUGCGCAAAAUGCAACCGUCACAUGCAUCUGGUGAAAUGCCAUGUCAAGGAUGGGCUGUGGUGGGUCUGUAAGCAUCAUAAAAGUUUCCCAAAGUAUGUACGUAAUGGCUCAAUAUUCACCAAGUCUCACAUCCCUCUGACAAAAUGGCUUGAGUUCAUGCACAGUACCAUCAUUGUCGAUGUGGCAACACUUGGCGCCGUGAACGGCAGUGGGUCUUUGGGAUGUUGGAGGUCGACAAGAAGUCCAGAAGACCCAUUCUGAGACUUGUCAGGGAUCGCAGAAGGAAGACACUUAUAGGUCAUAUUAGACGCCAUGUCAGACCCAGAACAUCCAUCCUCAGUGAUGAAUGGCGUGCCUACAAAGGGCAACUUGCCCAGUAUGGGUAUGAUCAUUAUUCGGUCUGCCAUAAAAACAACUUUGUGGACCGAGAGACUGGUGCUCAUACUCAGCAUAUUGAGCGUGCAUAGUAAAGCUACAAGCUGGAAGUAUGGCGUCACAGAGGGAAUCGUACUCCUGAAUCACUCAAGCUUCAUCUUAAGAUGAUAGAAUGGCACCACUGGUUGGGUGUACACCAUUACAAUGGCGUGUUGGGCAGACUUUUCCAUGAUUUUUUUUUUUUUUACUUUACUUUUUACUGAUGUGAAAAAACUUGUUUUUUCACAUCAGUAAAAAGUAAAGUAAAAAAAAAAAAAAUCUCAACAAUGUCUGCUGGCAUUUAUGCAUCUAUGUUGUGGCGUUAAACUCAUUAUAUGUUCUCCUGAGCAGAUCCUUGCUUGUGUUUUACAAACUGUCACUGGAUGAACAUCACAACAAAAUGUUUUGUUUUGAAAUACAUAAAGGAAAAACUAU